rnacentral:misc_RNA from 1 species
AAAAAAAUGCAAGGCACUCUUGAAAAGAAUCAGGUUCAAUAACACAAGACAUAAGAAACAUCAUAAACCCCAGAAGAUUAAUCCCUCACCUAUAUCUAAAAGGGAUUUCAAAUACCCUACAGGGUACACAUGCAUUGUCAAAGAAAUCAACACCAGCAUCCUGUGAAUUGAAAUUUAAUUUAAGUGAAAAAAAUCAACUAAUAUAAACAACAGUGUUGGAGUUUUUCUUUUGUUGCUUGUAUAACUUUUGCUAUAAUAAACCCCCCACUGAUGAGCAAAGAACUCAGGAUAUCCAUGUUGCUGAUCCUUGGUAGUUGAUAUUCAUACUAGCUCCCAGCAUGUCAUAGAAGUUUCCAUUCUCUGAUUUCCUCUACUAUAAUAAGUCAUGAUCAUUAUCCCUUUUCCUUGAUGGCUCUGUUUGAGUAUACAAACACAGAGAAUUCAGCUUAUUUCAGCCUGUCAGCUUCAAAUGUUGUCAGCCUCUUCAACAUUACGGCGCUCAGAUAUCUUUGAAAGAUCAUUAUCAAUCUCUAGAUUAUCCUCUACUUUUGUUCGACGGUACCCAUCUGAAUCAUCCACGUUCACUUCUCGGGGCAGACACAUGGAUGGCAUCAUUGCCUGUUCUCGUACAUAUGCACGGAAAUUGUUUCUUGAAGGCUUCAUUUUGGUGCAGAAUACCUCAAGAAAAUUAAUUAGGCACCCCUGGUUAUAGACAUUGCGCCCAUUACGUGCUCCAUAGCGGAAGUUCUCAUACGUGGUCUGAAGAAAUUAUUAAUGAAUUAAAGGACUUCAGGAAAUGGAAAGAAAAAAAGAAAUCUGCACAUAAGAAGGAAUACCCUUUUCUGGUUUCUAUUCUCCAAUUCAAUUCUUUUUAAUACCAUUCCAGAUAUGAGUUUUUGACAAAAAUGCUUCUAAUCAGAGAAAAAGAAUCAGGUUUUAUAUCUUUCGUUUGACAUAUAAAAAGCAUCUUUCAAUAUUUUUACCAAUAACUCAAAAGCUACCUCAUUCCUCAUAUUCAUUUAAGGUGUGGGAGGGAACACUAGCUGACCAUAACAAAAAUCGUUAAAAGGAUUUAUGAAAAUUGAAAACUGCAACCCUUCCAAUAGUGUACAUUUUUUACCCUUAGAACUGAUGACUGUCAGAAUGAUAAACUAUUUCACAAGGUCGGCAACAGGCAGAACCUACUGCAAACAUAUACACACUUAUAAAAAUAGAAGAGAGUUGCCCUGACCUGGUUUCUCCCUAUAAGAUAUAGAUGGAAGCAUGUGAGACCACCAACAAACCAUAGGAAAAAGAAACAAUAGCCCAUGAGAAUCACAGAUGCAGGAGACUCUUUCAUUGCCUUCCAGAUAGUUCCAUGAUCGUCCAUAAGAAGUUUUAUGUUCACAGCUGACAUUGCAAAGACAAAGAUGCAUAGAAGAGCUGAUGAGGAAACGAACAGAAAGAAGUAUCGGUAGUUGCGCAGUCCAAUGCAUUGGCCCACCCAAGGGCAAUGGUGAUCAAAUCGCUCUACACAAUUAUCACAUACAGAGCAAUGUGAGCAACGAGGUGGACGGUAUAACAUGCAUGUCUCACAAUACUUAACCUUCACAUGCACACCAUUGACCAGGACUUCUUUUGUUCGGGGCAGCUGUGGAGUUGGUGUUUGUCUCCCACCAACUUCAACUGAAACUGAAGAGUCAUAAAUAUCCUCCUCUGGAGGAUGUGAACUGCGAGGAACAAUUCCCGGGUCUCGCGCUGAAGUAAGAAGAAGAAGCACUAGUACCUAUAUUGAAAAAAAUUGUGACAAAUGGACAACGUUUUUGCAACACAUCAUUGGCUAAAGAUAAAGUUGGAGAAAAGAAUAUAGACAAACACAUGAUGGACAUGGAAAAAGAAGAAUGCUUGACCAUAGAAUCCAUUACUUUUAUAGAUGUUUGGAAAAUGGGUCAAUAUCAGGCAAACUAAUAGAAGCACUCUGACUACAUAUAUAGUAAUUUUAUUCAAUUUAUUUCUCAAAUAUCUGUAGGGAGAUUCCUGUAUUUUUAGGAAGUUGUAGAAGAGAUAUCCAAACAACUAUUAAGUAAUUUCCAUCUUCCUCUUUCACAAAUGCACUCAUUUCUUAUCUAGUUUUUCUUCGGUUUUCAAACAUCUUAAUGUUUCACGUAUCAGUAAAACUAAAAUCAUGGGCAUACCAGCAUCCUUUCUCUCUAAUAGUUAUUCAUUCAUUAUAAAAUGAAAAAAAAGGUCCCAACAAUAUGUAAUGAAAACACAAUUAUGUAAUGGGAGAAAUCAGCAGGACUAACAUAGAUUGUGAACAGAAUUGCUACUGCCAGAAUUACACAGCCUGUAUUAUAUGUCGGAAAUUCAUUGAUGAGGUUCCUUGUGACAUUUGUACAGAAGACAACAAUAGGAACCACAAUGAGCAAUACGGUAACAACCAGUGACUUAGCAUCUGGGCCAAAAAUAAGCUUCCCAUUAAAGAGAAAUAUAUUGCGUCCCUUCCAAACUUGAUAGACACGCUUAGCCAUUAAUAGAUACUUUUCCCAAGCAGCAGCAAAGCAGAAAGAGAGCAGAAUAUUUGAAACUUGCAGUGGUGGUAGUUCAUUUCU